rnacentral:rRNA from 1 species
UACGUAGGUGGCGAGCGUUUGUCCGGAUUUAUUGGGUUUAAAGGGUGCGUAGGCGGUCCUAUAAGUCAGUGCUGAAAUAUCCCGGCUUAACCGGGAGGGUGGCAUUGAUACUGUAGGACUUGAGUAAAGUUGAGGUUGGCGGAAUUGACGGUGUAGCGGUGAAAUGCUUAGAUAUCGUCAAGAACACCUAUUGCGAAGGCAGCUAACUAAGCUUAACUGACGCUGAGGCACGAAAGUGUGGGGAUCAAACAGG